rnacentral:rRNA from 1 species
AGUAACCUGCCUUGGAGUGGGGAAUAACAGUUGGAAACAGCUGCUAAUACCGCAUAAUAUGUCUGUGUCGCAUGGCACUGGGCAUCAAAGAUUUAUCGCUCUGAGAUGGACUCGCGUCUGAUUAGCUAGUUGGCGGGGUAACGGCCCACCAAGGCGACGAUCAGUAGCCGGACUGAGAGGUUGACCGGCCACAUUGGGACUGAGAUACGGCCCAGACUCCUACGGAAGGCAGCAG